rnacentral:rRNA from 1 species
UGGGGAAUAUUGCACAAUGGGCGAAAGCCUGAUGCAGCGACGCCGCGUGAGCGAAGAAGUAUUUCGGUAUGUAAAGCUCUAUCAGCAGGGAAGAAAAUGACGGUACCUGACUAAGAAGCUCCGGCUAAAUACGUGCCAGCAGCCGCGGUAAUACGUAUGGAGCAAGCGUUAUCCGGAUUUACUGGGUGUAAAGGGAGCGUAGGCGGCAGGGCAAGUCUGAUGUGAAAACCCAGGGCUCAACCUUGGGACUGCAUUGGAAACUGUUCGGCUGGAGUGUCGGAGAGGCAAGCGGAAUUCCUAGUGUAGCGGUGAAAUGCGUAGAUAUUAGGAGGAACACCAGUGGCGAAGGCGGCUUGCUGGACGAUGACUGACGCUGAGGCUCGAAAGCGUGGGGAGCAAACAGGA